rnacentral:rRNA from 1 species
UACGGAGGGUGCAAGCGUUAUCCGGAUUCACUGGGUUUAAAGGGUGCGUAGGUGGGCAGGUAAGUCAGUGGUGAAAUCUCUGGGCUUAACUCAGAAACUGCCAUUGAUACUAUCUGUCUUGAAUACCGUGGAGGUCAGCGGAAUAUGUCAUGUAGCGGUGAAAUGCUUAGAUAUGACAUAGAACACCAAUUGCGAAGGCAGCUGGCUACACGAAUAUUGACGCUGAGGCACGAAAGCGUGGGGAGCAAACAGG